UUCAACAGGUACAAUUUUUAUAAUUUUCCACAACAUAUCUUUCUAUAUCAUUUUUAAUUUUACAUUGUUGGACAGAAAGUUGCUCUUAAGCUGUAGCUUUCAGCACAAUUAACAGCCAAAUUGUAAUACAAAUGACAUAUCACCGUUAUCACUGUUUACACAUUGAAAUCCUGUAUCUUGUUGCUACCAGGCAGCUCUGGCUGCCUAGGGAAUACCAUCAUGAAUUUCUUGAAUGAUUAAGACACGUCCUACUAAUUAAGGGUUGGUUUAUAUUAUCCUUUAUGUACCAGAACUGAAAAGAGCCUUAUUGUUUCUCUUUAAGGUAGUGCAGAAUAGAGGGAGAGAUUGAAAGUUCCUAGUAAUGCAUUCUUCUGGGAGAGAGUUCUAAUGUUGUUCCUGGGAUCUGUGGCAGACAUUCUUCCAACUUAGGAGUCACAGCUCCAACUGCUUUUAUCAUCACUGAGACUACUUUUACCUGUACUUUUCACAUGCUCUUCAGGCCUGGUACUUUUCCAAAUCCUAAUACUCCUUUUUCCUGAUGAUGCUAUCAUUUGGCACUGCUAUGUUUGUCACUCUCACUGUCUUCUGGUCUACUACCACAAUGUCCGGUUGAUUGGCCAGUGCCUGCCUGUUCAUCUGGAUAUGGAAAUCCCACAGGGUCUUAGCCCUGUUAUCCUCUACAACUCUCUGUGGAACCUCCCAUCUGAACCUGGAAGGGUCUAGGCCAUAUUCUAUGCAGAAGUUCCUGUAUAUCAUGCCAACCAUUUUGGUGGUGCUGUUCCUGCCUGCAUCUUACAAUUUACACUACAUGUUGAAGUGUCUUUGAAGCCUCUUUUCAUAGUCUACAUUUUGAGUCUUGCCAAGCGUGGUAGACCCCUGCUUCUAUGGAUCUGAAACUUAGUAUCUGUUCUUGUGCUGAUAGGAUCAGUGCCUCAGUUUUUUUUUUAGCCCAGCCCUUUCCAGCCAGCAGUAGAAGUUUAAUGUCAGCUACCCGUUGAUGGUACAUUCCAUGUAGGGUAUCAUCUUGUAAUAGCACUUCCUCUGUUUGGUCUUCCUCUUAUGUUUCCUGUUUUAGGCAUUCUCUCAACAGUUCAUUUUUGGACGUCAUCUUGGAUCCUAGAUUUUCUGGUUUUAUCCAGGAUGGUACUUUUGAUCCUCAGCAGAUCCUGCCAGCCCCCUAUACAGGCUGGUGUACUGUCUCUGGGUAUUGGACUUGUGAUGCAAACUGCUGUACAUUGUGAGGUGCUUUGAGGUCAUCAGCUUCCAUGACCUCCUUUAGCCAGUUCACUAUACUGGCAGAAUAUCUGAUGCCUGGCAGGGCAUAGGUGUUGAUGGCAUGGAUCUUGUUCUUCCCAUUAAGCUUCCUCUUUGGAACCUGGUUUAUCUUUUGACAAUAUUUGGAGGUUGCUGUCUUCCUUGCCUUCUCAUCAUAGUUCCCAUGUAUUUAUAAGAUACCAAGUGGCUGGUUAAGCUGUGAAAGGGAAAAUACCAUCACCUCUUGCCACACAAAAAGAGAAGUUGGAGAGGGGGCCAAACUGCUUCAUAGGCUUCAUAGCUCCAGACCUGCACUAGAAGAUUAGAUGGUGUUUGUGCAAAAUGCAGAUAACAAAAGCAAGAGUGAAGAAAAUUAAAGAGACAGCUAAAUUCCAGCAACAAAAUGGUUAAUGAAUGUGAAUCAUUGUACCUCUUAUUCUAAGAGUCUGCUAUAGUGUGAACAGCGCAAACAUCAGACAAGCAAAAGAUGCCUAUUGAAGAAGCUGAAUUCAUUUAACAACCACAUGAUUCACUGUAAAAUUGGUUCCAAUGGAAAUUACAAUGGAAAUUCCAAUCCCAGUUAUGGUUGUAAGAUGAGAAUUACCUGCAUCUGCUGAUAUGGCAAAUUCCACAUGUGAUGGUACAACCUGAACAAGCCUCCUUAUGGCCUACUUACAUGUCUCAGGAUGUUGAAGAAAUCUUACAGCAACGUAUGAAAAUACAGAAUGCCACAGAAACAAAUGUAAUUGGCAGCUUCAAAUACUACUAAGGCUACAAAAAUCUCAAAGUAAUUAGUACUGUCUGAAUGUAAUGAUCAUGGUCCUCUAGACUUGUCAAGCUAGCAAAAACUACAUGAAAAAUAUGACAAGCAUUGCAAAUGCCUGUCUCUAAGGUCUCACUUUGGGAAAACUAAAGAAACAAUGCCUUUCUUUGUGCCAAUAUAUUUUAAAGCUAAAGUCUCAGCAUUUGUAAAGAUUUUGACAAUUCUCUGCUUCAAGUGUGACAGGUUUAUACAGAAUAUAACAUGGAGAUAAAAAUAGUUCACAGGAGUGCCAAGGCUUUGGUCAAUUUGUUUAUAAUUUACUUUUAAUCUGAUCAUUAAUUUGGCUGAUUGAAAUACCCUGUCCUCUGCAGAAGAAAGAAUCCUACAAGUUUCUAAAAUUGUAUUUAUAGGAUAAUACUUCUGGGGGCAUUCAAUUCAAUCCAUACACCUUUGUUUUGAAGAUCUGUGGUACCUAUUCUCCACUCCAGUUCCUCGGCUGCUAUAGCACAAUGUUCAAAUGUGUGUUGGUUCCAAGAAAGACAUUAGUCAUCAUUAACAGAAGCACUGACACCAUAUCUAAGUGCCUUUCUACAAUGACCAAGUGGCAAUCAUCUUUCUCUUACGCUGUCACUGCUGAUUAGGGUUUUCCGUCAUGAAAAUUUAAUUUGUUCCCUUUCUGCAUCUCCUUUUGCAACGUUAACAAAGUAUGUCAGUGGCAUAUUGCAAAGACAGCAAAAGAACCUGAUCCGGAACUAGAAAGAUAGUUUUCUGUUUUUAGUUCUCUCAAGAUCUUAAGUUUGGCCUCAAUCAAAUCUUCCCAUCUUUUACAUUGAUUAAAGGACUAUUAA